AUCACAGAUUCUCUCAGCAGAAACAGUAAAAUCAAAGAUAUUUCAUAACUGAGUCCAUCUCUGUCCAGUUUCACCUACAGAUUGCUGUGCUGUUUGUUUACCUUUUUUUAACAAUUUUUGACGCCUUAUAUAGUGACCCCGACACUUUAUAUUGAGCUUUUUAUAUCCAAAGGAAUAGUAUCUUAUGAUUUUCUCCGUGCCUUUUUCAGGGUAACUUUGACCUUGUGGGUAACAACAUGCCUGUGUUUUUCAUACGAGAUGGGAUGAAAUUCCCUGAUAUGGUCCAUGCUUUCAAGCCAAACCCAAAGACCAAUUUGCAGGAGAACUGGAGAAUAGUAGAUUUCUUCUCUCACCACCCAGAGAGCCUGCACAUGUUCACCUUCCUCUUUGAUGAUGUUGGCAUCCCACUCAACUACAGGCACAUGGAGGGCUUUGGUGUCAAUACCUACACCUUGAUCAACAGGGAUGGAAAGCCUCACCUUGUGAAAUUCCAUUGGAAGCCUACUUGUGGCGUGAAAUGCUUGCUUGAUGAUGAAGCUGUGACUGUUGGAGGUACCUGCCAUAGCCAUGCGACAAAGGAUCUAUAUGAUUCCAUUGCAGCUGGGAAUUACCCUGAAUGGAAGCUCUACAUCCAGACUAUCGAUCUUGACCAUGAGGAUAAGUUUGACUUCGACCCGCUUGAUGUCACCAAGACCUGGCCUGAGGAUAUCAUCCCACUGCAACCUGUUGGACGGAUGGUCCUGAACAAGAACAUUGAUAACUUCUUUGCGGAGAAUGAACAAAUUGCUUUCUGCCC
rnacentral:lncRNA from 1 species